GUUGGUUAAUACAUGUGACAGCGAGAAUCCAUUUCUUACUACUUUGGCUUCUCUUUUGUGGCAGAGAUUGACCACAAAGAUGUACCAUUUGUUACUUUAAUGGAUGUUCUUACCUAUCGAGAGGUAUCAUAUUUUAUUAUUUUAUUUGGUAGCUCUCAAGUUUUCUGGUCCAACUAUCUGAGAAGUGGAAAAGAAUUAUAGAUUUGUCUUGUUAGAACUUAUCAAUGAGAAGUGGAAAAGAAACAUGAAGAGGGUAGGAAAAGUCAAUUUUUGUUGCUAUUUGGUAACUAGAAAGUAGUAUUUUAGUUUUGAAUAUUUAAUGGAGAGUUAAUAUUAUUGGAAAAGUAUGCUCUGAUUUUGGUGUUUUAGUUUUGAAUAUUUAAUGGAGAGUUACUAAGUUGUAGCAAGAAGUUGAAAAUUGGAUCAUAUUGUUUGGAGUAGAAAUACAUGUGUUUUAGUGUUUUUUUUCUUCAUGUAAACAAAAAAUCAUGGAUUCCCUGUACUUUUUAGCUUAAGAAAUUUGCUUGUCAUGUCUCAUUUUCUGUUUCUUGUGAACCUUUGUUAUUGACACCGAGUUAGAUGCAUUUUUUACUGACUCAGGUCAAAAGAACACUAGAAUUAAGGCACAGUAUUUAAGUUUACACAAUGUUACAAAGAACUUGAGAAAGUUCUAUGCACAAGCUUACUUGGGACAAUCACCGAAACAAGCUCCAAAGUAUUGGCUUCAUUUUCAAGUUUCUGUACUAUCGCUUGGUUGGAAUACUUACUUUGUCUCAAAGGCAUAUAGUACAGAAAAUGGGAUCAAUGGCAGAUGAAUUGGAUCCAUGUUGAACAAUUGGAUCCAUGUUGAACAAUCAUUGAUGAACACAAGAAAGGAAAGGGCAAAAGUCAGCCUUCUUUUUACAUGGGCGGAAGGCAAUGUUGCCAACCAGAGGGAACAUGUAAUUCUUCUCCUUGCCAAUAUUCACAUUCAGAAAGCUAAUAAGCAGUCUGUCUUGAAGAGUUAUACACAGUAUAUCCCUUUGCCAAUCAUUGACCUUGAUUCUUAGUUGAAGACACCCUCCAUAUAUGUUUUUGAUUGCUCUGCGGCUGGGGGAAUAUUGUGAAUGCUUUUAUUGAGCUUCAUGAUUGGGUUGCUUCUAGCUCCUCUGGAUCCACAAGGGAUUGCAUUCUACUUGGAGCUUGUGAAGCACAUGAGACUCUUCCACAAAGUGCUGAAUUUCCUGCAGAUGUGUUUACAUCUUGUCUCACAACACCUAUUAAGAUGGCUUUGAGAUGGAUCUUUCAGGCAAAGGACACCAAGUGAAUUAGAUAGAGAGGUUAAGAACUUGAGGGUGGCAUUUACUGACCUGUUUUUGAAGCAUAACACUUUCAAAGAAACUGCCAAGCCAUCGAGAUAUUGAUGCAAAGAAUGGAAGAAUGUAUUUCACUAAUUUUUGUUUACAUUUCUUGUUUUUUAUUUAGUGAUAAAGGAAUCUGUAUUGGGCAUAAAUUAUAUUGUAAUAUGAUUUCUUAAGCCUAGACUAGUAGACUAAAUAUUGUAAUUACAUUUGAGUAAUUAAUAAAAAUCUAUUUAUGUUA